UACGGAGGGUGCGAGCGUUGUCCGGAAUCACUGGGCGUAAAGGGCGCGUAGGCGGCUCGGUAAGUAGGGGGUGAAAUCCUGCGGCUUAACCGCAGGGCUGCCUUCUAAACUGUCGAGCUCGAGCACGGUAGAGGCAGAUGGAAUUCCCGGUGUAGCGGUGGAAUGCGUAGAGAUCGGGAAGAACAUCAGUGGCGAAGGCGGUCUGCUGGGCCGUUGCUGACGCUGAGGCGCGACAGCGUGGGGAGCGAUCCGG
rnacentral:rRNA from 1 species